CGGCGGACGGGUGAGUAACGCGUAGGUAACCUACCCUGUACACACGGAUAACAUACCGAAAGGUAUGCUAAUACGGGAUAAUAUAUUUGAGAGGCAUCUCUUGAAUAUCAAAGGUGAGCCAGUACAGGAUGGACCCGCGUCUGAUUAGCUAGUUGGUAAGGUAACGGCUUACCAAGGCGACGAUCAGUAGCCGACCUGAGAGGGUGAUCGGCCACAUUGGAACUGAGACACGGUCCAA
rnacentral:rRNA from 1 species